UAUUGGUCAAUGGGCUUACGCCUGAACCAGCCAAGUCGCGUGAGGGAAGACUGCCCUAUGGGNUGUAAACCUCUUUUGUCAGGGANNCANNNGNGCUACGUGUAGCGUUAUCGAGAGUACCUGAAGAAAANNNANANGCUACCUCCUUGCCAGCAGCCGCGGUAAUACGGAGGAUGCGAGCGUUAUCCGGAUUUAUUGGGUUUAAAGGGUGCGUAGGCGGAAUGCCAAGUCAGCGGUAAAAUCGCGGGGCUCAACCUCGCUCCGCCGUUGAAACUGGCGUUCUUGAGUGGGCGAGAAGUAUGCGGAAUGCGUGGUGUAGCGGUGAAAUGCAUAGAUAUCACGCAGAACUCCGAUUGCAAAGGCAGCACACCGGCGCCCAACUGACGCUGAAGCACGAAAGCGUGGGUAUCG
rnacentral:rRNA from 1 species